rnacentral:rRNA from 1 species
AGUGAACGCUGGCGGUAGGCCUAACACAUGCAAGUCGAACGGCAGCACAGUAAGAGCUUGCUCUUACGGGUGGCGAGUGGCGGACGGGUGAGGAAUACAUCGGAAUCUACUUUUUCGUGGGGGAUAACGUAGGGAAACUUACGCUAAUACCGCAUACGACCUACGGGUGAAAGCAGGGGAUCUUCGGACCUUGCGCGAUUGAAUGAGCCGAUGUCGGAUUAGCUAGUUGGCGGGGUAAAGGCCCACCAAGGCGACGAUCCGUAGCUGGUCUGAGAGGAUGGACAGCCAAACUGGAACUGAGAACAGGUCCAGACUCCUACGGGGGGGAGCAGUGGGGAAUAUUGGACAAAGGGCGCAAGCCUGAACCAGCCAUACCGGGGGGGUGAAGGAAGCCUUCGGGUUGUAAAGCCCUUUUGUUGGGGAAAGAAAAGCAGCAGGUUAAUACCCCGCUGUUCUGACGGUACCCAAAGAAUAAGCACCGGCUAACUUCGUG